GUUGAUAUUCCUUCUUACGAAGAAUAUGAGACGAUGUGUUUGUUCCAUAACCAUUGGAGUACAACAUAUGAAGACCUGAAACUACUUCGUCGUAACAGCAGACGCGUAGAAAAUCACGCUAAGCAAGGAUUCUUGACGUUUGGGGCUCAUUGGAAUAGAAGACGUAAUACUUGCGAGAUUGCAGAUUGUUUCUUCGGGGAAGGACGUAGAUAUGUACCUUAAUUGACCGAACUAGACUAUCAGUACGUUUAAAUUUAAUAUUUAAGUUUUAUCUAUUUUUUUAUACAACCAGAUUCAGCUGUAAAUUUUACGUACAAUAAAAUAAGGACAAGAUAUU